rnacentral:rRNA from 1 species
GACGAACGCUGGCGGCGUGCCUAACACAUGCAAGUCGAGCGAGGAGAGUUCCUUCGGGAACAAACCUAGCGGCGGACGGGUGAGUAACACGUGGGCAACCUACCUUGUAGAGGGAAUAGCCUUCCGAAAGGAAGAUUAAUACCGCAUAACAUUACAGUUUCGCAUGAAACAGUAAUUAAAGGAGCAAUCCGCUACAAGAUGGGCCCGCGGCGCAUUAGCUAGUUGGUGAGGUAACGGCUCACCAAGGCGACGAUGCGUAGCCGACCUGAGAGGGUGAUCGGCCACAUUGGGACUGAGACACGGCCCAGACUCCUACGGGAGGCAGCAGUGGGGAAUAUUGCACAAUGGGGGAAACCCUGAUGCAGCAACGCCGCGUGAGUGAUGAAGGUUUUCGGAUCGUAAAGCUCUGUCUUCGGGGACGAUAAUGACGGUACCCGAGGAGGAAGCCACGGCUAACUACGUG